GUACUCACUUUGACAACACAUAGGCUAAAAUGGGAAUCAUACAGAGAAGAUUAGCACAGUCCCCGAACAAGGAUGACAUGCAAAUUCAUGAAGCAUUCCAUAUUUUU